rnacentral:rRNA from 1 species
UACGAAGGGUGCAAGCGUUACUCGGAAUUAUUGGGCGUAAAGAGCUCGUAGGCGGCUUGUCGCGUCGGAUGUGAAAGCUCGGGGCUUAACCCCGGGUCUGCAUUCGAUACGGGCAGGCUAGAGUGUGGUAGGGGAGAUCGGAAUUCCUGGUGUAGCGGUGAAAUGCGCAGAUAUCAGGAGGAACACCGGUGGCGAAGGCGGAUCUCUGGGCCAUUACUGACGCUGAGGAGCGAAAGCGUGGGGAGCGAACAGG